UACGAAGGGGGCUAGCGUUGCUCGGAAUCACUGGGCGUAAAGGGUGCGUAGGCGGGUCUUUAAGUCAGGGGGGAAAUCCUGGAGCUCAACUCCAGAACUGCCUCCGAUGCUGAAAGGCUCGAGUCCGGGAGAGGUGAGUGGAACUGCGAGUGUAGAGGUGAAAUUCGUAGAUAUUCGCAAGAACACCAGUGGCGAAGGCGGCUCACUGGCCCGGUACUGACGCUGAGGUGCGAAAGCGUGGGGAGCAAACAGG
rnacentral:rRNA from 1 species